CUUCCCUGAUGAUCUUGUCGGCCC
rnacentral:sRNA from 1 species